rnacentral:rRNA from 1 species
GAAAUUGAACUCGCUGUGAAGAUGCAGUGUACCCGCGGCAAGACGGAAAGACCCCGUGAACCUUUACUAUAGCUUGACACUGAACAUUGAGCCUUGAUGUGUAGGAUAGGGGGGAGGCUUUGAAGUGUGGACGCCAGUCUGCAUGGAGCCGACCUUGAAAUACCACCCUUUAAUGUUUGAUGUUCUAACGUGGACCCGUGAUCCGGGUUGCGGACAGUGUC